UACGUAGGGGGCAAGCGUUGUCCGGAAUCAUUGGGCGUAAAGCGCGCGUAGGCGGCCAGAUAAGUCCGGUGUGAAAGUCACAGGCUCAACCUGUGAAUGCCGCUGGAAACUGUCUGGCUUGAGUCCGGAAGGGGCGAGUGGAAUUCCUGGUGUAGCGGUGAAAUGCGCAGAUAUCAGGAGGAACACCGAUGGCGAAGGCAGGUCUCUGGGCUGACACUGACGCUCAUGCACGAAAGCGUGGGGAGCAAACAGG
rnacentral:rRNA from 1 species